CUAAUAUAUAAUAUAUGUUCAAAUAAGAAUUUUAGUAGUGUAUCUUGUAUAUGAAAGCUCUCAUAAAGGUGUAAUAAAUAGUAUUUAUAUCACGUUUAAACUGCGAAACAUAUUAUUUGUGAUAUAGCUGAUUCAGCAAUAGGAGUAACUUUUAAUCACUAUUCAAGGACUCUUUUUGGCUCGGCGGAAGAUGCGAAGCCUUUGUAGUAGAGUGCAGAUUUGACACUCCCCUGAUGCAUAACUUCUCGACAGACCUGCCGGAUUGCGCGCCUUAUAGGCUGCUACGUACGGGUUCUAAACAAUCUUUACUAAUAUUUAUUUUUUAUUAAUAAAACAUGUAAUUUAA